AAGAAAAACACUAGAUUGAAAGUUGAGACUCAAGCUACAAAGUCAUUGAAGCUGAGAAGAUUUUGGAGGAUUCAAGAAGACUUGGAAGAUCAAGAUUAUAAUUCUUGACUUUAUUCUUUUUGAUUAUUCAUUUAUUUUCUUAGUUUGUUUUUAUUGUUUAAACUUAUUCAAUGAUGAUGUGUGACUUGAUGGGGAACUAAAUUGUUAAUUUAAGAUUAUGAUUAGAACUCAAUAAGUAGUCUGAAUUAUUUAUUGCUCUUUUACUUAUGUUUGAUAGAUUUAAGUUGUUUAUUUUAUUCUGUUCUUAAUGCUUCUAAUUGUCGAAUCACUAAUUAAAUUGAAUUGGAAACAUAGAUUAAACCUUGAUGAAGGAGAUUUAGGUAGACUUUGAAUAGAAUAACAUAUGAUCGAAUACACUUAGUUGAUUAGGUGGUUUGAUUUGCAUAUAGGGUAGACAUACACUUAUAAGUCAUACGAAGCCAAGAUUAUAACACAAACUUAAUGAAUCUUUUUUCAAUUUAAUUUGCAUAGACAUAUAGUAAAAUAAUUGAGAAAGGUAUUUUUAUGAGAAACUCGACAGAGACUUGUAAAUAAUUUAGGACUUUAGGUUCUCAAUUUAAUCCAUUAAACUAAGUUAAGAGAGAGAGACAAUAAUCAGAUGAAAUAUUGAGGGAUAUUAUAAUCUUAGGUCUGGUAGUUAAGUGAGUAUUAUUUGCUAUUUAAUUUUAGUUUUAGUUAUUAGUUUUAAUUUUUUUUAUUUCAAUUGUUUAGAUAAAAUUAGGGUGUUAUAAUUUUAGUAGUUAACAGCAAGAAUUAAACAAUUCUCCAUGGGAAUGAUACUCUACUUCAUUGCUAUAUUACUUGUUAAAAAUACGUGCACUUGCGUGAGUAGAAAAUUGAACAAGGAGUUUUUGAAGUCGUUGCCGGGGAAUUGAUUUUUAAUUCUUUCUUAUUAAUAUUAAUACCAAACAUUCCUAAUCUUACUUUAAACUCUUCUUUUUAUUUUCAGAUACUUUUCAUUGAGAUGAUAAACUAUCUGUGGCCAUUUGAACAAUUUGUGCCUAAGAGGGUUGCUAGUGAUUAUGCAUUGGAUGCAAUCAGUGUUUUAGCCAUCCAAGUAUAUGUUUUGUCUCAGAAAAUUAAUGCUUGGGGUGAUAAUGCUUUUCAAAGUGCUUUUGUGACAUGUGAGCUUUGUGGAGAUAGGCAUUUAAGUGAUUGUUGUCCAACCUAUUACAAAUCAAUGCAAUUUGAUGGAAGCUUCGAUGGGCAACAAAAUAAGCCAUACUCCAACAAUUACAACUCAGGAUGGAAUCACAAAUAUUUUUCAUUGAGUAAUGAUCAUGGUCCUAAAUAUUUAUCAUAGCCUAUUUUCCAUAAUGGUUUUCAGUCACAAGUUAGAGCUCUUACGCUAGAGAAGAAGCCUUCAAUAGAGGAUACAUUCAUGUAAUUCAUGACAAAGAUUGAUGCCUUCAUGACAAAGACAGAUGUCUUCAUGACAAAGACUGAUGCCAUCAUUCAAAGUCAAGCAGAAUCAAUCGAUAUCUUGAGACACAAGUGGGUCAACUAGCUAGUGCAAUCAAUAAUAGACUUCAAGAUGAUGGAGAUAAAGUAAAUCAAGGAAAUACAUCCAGCAAUCAAGUUCAAGAUGAAGAAAUUAAGCAAGAAGAGGAAAUAUUUACAUCACUACAAGUCAAGUCAUCUGUGCCUCCCAUUCCUUUUUUGGAUACAGUUGAUGAGUUACUUAAAGAGGUUAUAGCAAAAGCGCAUUAUUCAAGAAUAAAUCAAUUUGAGAAGUUAAAUAAAAGUCAGCCUAUUCCACCACCUUGGGUUAAGCAAGCAUCAAAUAUUGAGUUAAAAGCACUACAACCUCAUUUUAAGAGAAGGCUACUUUCACAACUCAAGCUUUUUCCAUGCAAAGUCAAGCUAUUGACUAUAAAGAAGCGCUUCUUGGGAGGCAACCCAAGCUUUCAAAACUCUUAUUUUUUUGUUAUUUAUUUAUUUAUUUUCAUUAAUCUCUAUUUAUUUUUUUCAGUGAAAAAAUUUUUCUUAUAAGUGACAAUGAGGAUGAUGAGGAGGAAGAUUAGAGCUUCACAAAAUUCAUCCAAUCAUUAGGAGAGUGUUCUUUACCUUUCUUUUAUUUUUUCUAACAUUGAGGACAAUGUUUAAUUUAAGUUUUGGGGGUGAAUUUAUUUUUCUGGUGGUAAAUAUUCUGUGGGAAUGUUAGAUUUAAUUUUAU
rnacentral:lncRNA from 1 species